CUGAGCAGAGUUGGUGAAAGCAGGUCUCAGGAUACGAAAUAGGAACCUCUAAGGUUCGUGGCAGAGAGCUGGGGCCAGAACCAAAACCCAGGCAAGAGGUUGAGGACUGGAAGGGACAUCCGUUACCUUUGGCUGCUGGACUGAUGAUUCCUUGAACGCUGGAGACUGAGAUGCAGGGCUUGUGUCCUUCUAAGAGGAAGAAACACCAGAGUGCUCCCCGCAUCAUGUGAGGACUCAGCAAGAAGGCCACCAUCUGCAAGCCCAGGAACUAAAUAGGCAGCCCCUUGACCUUGGACUUCGCAGCCUCCAGAACUGUGAGAAAAUUAAUUCUAUUUUUUAAGCCAAGCUGUCAGUGGUAUAUUGUUACGGCAGCCUGAGUAAACUAAUACAGAGCCCUUCAUUCACUUAUCCUCUGCUUACUGAGCAUCUUUUAUGAGACAGUAAGAGCCUAGUCUUAGCAUUGACAGAUCUGGGUUAAAUCCUGUAGGGAAUGAAAAAAACUUUUUCUCUACACUCUUAGGGCCUGUAACUAAAAUCCUGGGAAUCAAACUGACAAAACACAACUUAACAGGAGAAAAACAGAUUUUAUGAAAGCAUGCAGCAUGCAUAUACAUGGGAGAACCUCAGUGAUGAGUAACUCAAAGAAAUGGUUGGAACUUGGGGCUUAUAUGGCAUCUUAACAAAGAAGAGUGAAUUUGCAGAGAAAAAUUACGGCAAAAAAAAAGGAGUGAAGACUUUCGAGGUGGCAAACAGUGGGAAGGAAAAUAUAUCAGAGGAAACUAAUAGAAAACCAGGGUUAUUUAGUAAGGUUUGUUGUGUAGGGGCCUCUCAGAUGCCAUCUCUGACCUGAUAAGAGUCCAGAGUUGUCUCUGGUGAUUAUGAGUCCAAGAAUUGUCCUUCUCUUUCCAACUUGGAAGAAAGAAACACCUUUACAAAUGAAAAUUUGUAUCCUGCUUUUAAGAGAUCCUUGGUGGCCUAGCGAUACAAGAUUCGGUAUCAUUGCUGCGGCACAGGUUUGAUUCCUGGCCGGGCCAAAAAAAAAAAUGAGAAAAAUAUAUCUUGUUUUUAGCAAGACUGGGGAAGAGCAGAUACUUUUUUUCCUGCAUCUGUUGUUUUGUAAUUGCCUUCAGCUCAAAAUGCUCCUUACGCCAAGGCGGCAUAUUUUGGAGCAGCAUGUUCCAGUACCCUUUGUCGUUGACUCCAGCAGCAAGGUGACCUUCAUCAGUUUACCCAGCCUCUCAGCCUCAGAGAGGCUUCUAAAAUGGGUUCAAUAAGAGCAUUUUCAGAGUUCCCGUCAUGGCUCAGUAGUUAAUGAUCCUACUAGGA